CCCUUCCCUGUCCCGGAGCUGGAAACAGAAUCUGCCUAGAAGGCAAGCGAGCGGUUUCUCGGAGCCGCCGGGCUGGCUGCCUUCCAGCUUCAAAACCUGGCGGGGUGGGCGAUAAGGGAUGCCUGGUCCCGCCAGGGAGGAAGGUGGGAGCGCUACACCUCGCCUCCGGCCGGUGCUGCUGCUCCGGAAAGUACCAAUGGCAUCCAUCCACCCGGCCUUUGAUCCAUGGCAUCGGAAAAUUGGUGCAGGAUCACUUCCACCCCUUAAAGUCAUCUCUUGCUGGAACCAACAACCCUGCCAAAACCAAAGGAUGGUUCUGAUACUGAAAAUAAACCUAAAGCAUUAAAUGAAAAUCAGCGAAAACCACAUCCUAGCAGAAGUGAACUUGACUGGUGGGGCUUCCUGCAUAGCAGUGUCACUCUAGAUUACUGCACAGAAUUGAAAUGCUUGCACUGUUACAGAAUUGGUGACCAUAAACUUCAUUUAGCUCUCCGUGCCCCACACCUUACCUACGCUGAUGGUGGACAUGUGCCAAAAAGCUACCUUGAUAACCUAAAUAUUGUAAUUUAUACCAAACAUACAUAUUGCAGUGCAGCUACAGAACGACUGCAGAAGAAGCCAGAAGACGACCUGGGUUCUGCAGGGGAGCUGCAAACCAUGACUCGCUGAACAAAUCAAAGCCUUAACUUUGCAGGUUAUUCUGUGUGGGCAAUAGAUUGUACUAGUGUCAACAUCAAACAACUUGCAGGAUCAACACCCACCAGAGGAAGAGCUGUGUAACUAGUGACACCGAGGUGAAACUGAAACUGAGAAAAAUACCUUACUACCAAAUACAGAAGAAAGCAAUGUCAAAGGAAAACACUUACUCAGUUCUCUGAAAUGAUCACAUACUUUUCAUCAAAAUACCUGGAGGAAAGCCAAUACAGAACUGCUGGAGAAAGCACUGCAGAGAGAGCAUCACACUGUGUACUAAAUAAAAGAGUUGGUGUUGGGCA
rnacentral:lncRNA from 1 species